rnacentral:lncRNA from 1 species
CAGAUUCUACCCCUUGUAGAAUCUCUAUAGUUGGCUAGCAUACUCCAACCUGGAACCACCAGAUUAGAAAUUCUCCCUGCAUUAUUCUCCUUGACCUUUGUUUCUACCAAACUAACAAGACUAAAUUUAUUCUGUCUAAAGUAUUCUUUAGCUUCUUUCUGUUUAUAUCUCUUAUUGAUCCCUCUAAUAUUCCAAACUACCAGCUUCAUUUGGUAUAACUAGGACCCCCUUCAU